rnacentral:lncRNA from 10 species
AUCUCUACAGCUAAACAAAUGAAGACCACCAAAAAGCUGUUCAGAGUAAGUCUAGUUUCCUCAGAAGAAUAAGGACAAAUCCUAAAACAAAAGGAGUGUAGAAGUCCCAGAAGAUGGGAAGGCCAGGUUAUCCUACCAAUAGAACAUGUAGCUAACUGACUACCAGUUAUUCAACAUUUCUAAGAAGCCCAGGAGAUGCUUAGUUGACCACAGGCUUUAACAAGUCAACAGUGAUGAGUCUGCUAAAAAUAUUAUUAUUACCAUCUUAGGCUAUGAUAAUACAAGGACUGUGUGAGAACAGAACAAGGAAUCGUUUCACUCUGUGCCAAAGUGGUCCCACUACAUUUAGAGUAUUUUGUCAGAUUUGAAGAGACCAUCAUUAACUAACUGGAGAUGACCCAUGUGACAGUAACCACAAAGGUUAAGGAGAUGGAAAUACAUCUUAUGAUGAGUGAGCUGAAUUAAUUGAGGCUUGUCUAAAUUGGAGAACAAAAAGGAAAACACUUUGCUAUUUCAAAGACAGAACUACAGUUUACAGGGCACUGAGCUCUUAAAGUUAUCAGGCCUGAAGUCAGGCGUGGAUCUUACUAGGUGAACAUCAAGAUGUGAGUGGACCUGAAUUCCUUUCUGGAGGCUCCAAGGGAGGAUUCAUUAACUUGCUUUUUCUACCUUCUGAAGAGGUUGCCCACAUUCUUUAGCUCUUUGGUCCCUUCCAACUUCAAAACCAUAAAUGGCCAGUCAAGUCUGACCUUCUCUCCUGCUUCCCUCUUCCACAA